rnacentral:lncRNA from 1 species
ACAAAAUGAGAAUAAACUAAGGAUAUCGUGUAUAUUGGGUCUCGAUAAAAUCUUGUCGGAACUUUCAACCCAGUCUAAGAAAAAAUAGCGUCCCGCACUACAAAUGACCUAUCCUCAAAUGUCAAUACAAAAGCAAAUUACAAGAUAUCUCAAAGCAAAUAAGGGGGAUCUUUCGCCCACAAACUAGCUAGCAUACAUCAUUUGCUAUGUAGGGAGCGUCAACCGUGCGGCAA